CANCCUGUAGUGAGUGUCACGUCNAAUUGCAAAUUUGAAAAAGUUCCUAUUUGGUUCCAGGGNGU
rnacentral:tRNA from 1 species